rnacentral:rRNA from 1 species
GAGCAGAAACAACAAAUUUUGUUGGAUCAUUUCAUUUCGUUGAUGGGCACACCCCUGGAGACCUACAGGGAGCUUAAUUGGGACAGAAUACAAAUGCCAUGCUUGGAUCUGCAUGCUCUUGAUGAGGUAUUUUCACUGGAAGAGAUAAAAGAGGCUGUUUUCGCUUGUCAUGCUGAGAAGGCACCUGGACCAGACGGAUACAUCAGUGCUUUUUACAAGAGUUGUUGGGAUAUGGUAAAGGAGGAUCUGCUACGAGCUUUUCGUCAAGUGUACCAGCUAAGGGGAAACUGUUGGCACCUUGUUAACACCGCAAACAUGGUUCUGAUUCCCAAAAAGGAGGGUUCCAAUUUGCCUUGCGAUUUCCGACCUAUAAGCUUGAUGCAUAGCAUGGCAAAAAUUCUUUGUAAGGUCCUGGCAAAUAGGCUGGCUCCAUUCCUAAAAGAUCUCAUCUCUCCGAGCCAAAGUGCGUUCAUUAAAAAGCAAUGCAUCCAGGACAACUUCCUGUAUGUAAACAAUGUCAUAAAAGAGGCUCACAUGAAGCGACAACCACUCGUUUUCUUGAAGCUCGACAUAGCAAAAGCUUUUGAUUCCAUUGGCUGGCCAUACAUGUUGAAAGUAAUGAAGGCUUGUGGCUUUGGCCAGAGAUGGUGCGAUUUGAUCUCCUUGGUUUUCGCAUCUUCAACUUCAAGAAUACUUUUGAACAGAAUACCAGGGAGGCCCUUCCGACACAUGAGAGGCUUGAGGCAAGGGGACCCGUUGCCCCCU